rnacentral:ncRNA from 2 species
GUUAGAAUCCGCAGCGUUGGUGCUCGCGGUGUGGUUCACACAUCGCAGUUCAACGGGAAGCAGGAGGGUGAGACUCAGCCGAGCCAAGCCUAACCUGCGCUGCCCCCGCAACGGUAAGUGGACGAACCCUUUGGGGUUCCGCUGCCAUCAAGACCACUGAAUGUCGUCAAGAACAUUUGGGAAGGGGAUGGCGGUAGAUCCAUCAGCCCGGAUACCGGCCAACACGGUGGCUGUGCG